rnacentral:rRNA from 1 species
UACGUAGGGGGCUAGCGUUGUCCGGAUUUAUUGGGCGUAAAGAGCGUGUAGGCGGCCAGGUAGGUCUGCUGUGAAAACUCGAGGCUCAACCUCGAGACGUCGGCGGAAACCAUCUGGCUAGAGUCCGGAAGAGGAGAGUGGAAUUCCUGGGUGUAGCGGUGAAAUGCGCAGAUAUCAGGAAGAACACCAGUGGCGAAGGCGGCUCACUGGCCCGUAACUGACGCUGAGGUGCGAAAGCGUGGGGAGCAAACAGG